AAUAAAAAAGAAAAAGAAAUUGCUGGCACAAGAUUUGAACUCCGAAGAAACUAAACGUAAAUCUAACAGGAGGUGCUACUGCUUCACCAGCCAAUGCGCUUUUACAGAGUUGGCAAUUAAAUUGUUUACGAAUAUAAUAUUUAGAUAAGCUUGAUCGACUCACCUCUGAUGUAGCACGUAGACGUUUGUUUUCUUGUCUCCAUGACAACGCUGUAAAGCUCUCAAAGAAAUUACCAUCGGAUUCCUGUACUCUGUAAGGGUUAAACAUGUUUGCCAUAAGAUGUCACGAAGGCAUUUGCCAUGUCUUGGGAACAACAACAAUAAUAAUAAUGAUAGUAAUAAUAGUAAUAAUAAUGAUAAUAAUAAUACAAACAACAACAAUAACAAUGUUAGUAAUACUAAUUCUGCUACUACGACUAACGACGAAGACAAUAACAGUAGCAGGUAGUAAUGAAACACAACAGUAGCAAAAGGAAGGCAGAAAAAUAAAUAUGGAUCUCUUUGAUGUUUAUCCGACCAAUUCGUUUAAAAUGAGCUUAA